rnacentral:rRNA from 1 species
AUGGCGUUCGCGCAGUCAACGGACGACAGUGGAGCAGGCGAUGCGUUUGCGGCGCUCCCUUCGCCACGCGUGGUCGCCACACACCUUCCCUACUCUCUCCUGCCACGGCGCAUCACCGCGGAGGAGUCCGGCUGCCGGAUCGUGUACAUCUGCCGGAACCCAAAGGAUGCGUUCGUCUCCUCGUGGUUCUUCGCCAAGAAGGGGGCGGCCACCGUUGCACGAGCACGAGCACGAGCCGACAAGGACAUGGACAUGCAGCUGCAGCAGCAGCCGCCGUACACAUUCGAGGAGGCGUUCGAACUGUUCUGCGAUGGCAUAUGCGUCUGCGGCCCGCAAUGGCGUCACGAGAUGGGCUACUGGGAGAUGAGGAGGAAGCGGCCGGAGAAGGUGCUCUUCCUCCGGUAUGAGGAGAUGCUCCGGGACCCGUGA